GAGAGCGCUCACGGGACGUGUCAAAAAAGAUCGUAAAAAUAUGGGGUCCUCAUUCGGAAACAUGCCAGUAUAUUUAGAUUUUGUUAUGCUGGUCUGCAAUCGUGAGCCCGAUAUGAAUUGGAGUAUGUUCUGUUGGGGGGGCGUCCUCCUUGGUGCUGUUGGAUUGGACCCGACCACGUGGGUUGCCAUGGGAACGGUCGGCCCUGCUACAGCAAGGAGUAAGAGAGCUGGGUGACUCCACCGACGGGAGGCUUGUAGUCUCAACCUAGCCCUACGUGUGUUAGUUUCUGUGUGUGUGUGCAAGCUACAAGAUCAGAGAAAAUCUCGUCAAACCCGAACCUCUUGAAAUGGACUAUAAAGGGCGGCGGUUGCCGGUCGUUUUAGUUAGUGGUGACGUCAUAAGGACACAUCUCGAUGCACACCCUCACGUGCCAGGGUGCAAUGCACUGUUGAUGUGUAAUCUGUGAUUUCAGUCCGUAUCUGUGACUCGAUGUGAAAUUGUUCGUAUAAGUGUGACCAACAGCAAGUAGGCAUACAUAAUUAUGGCAGUGAGAUGCUAAUUGUAAUACAACAGUGUGAAUAUCCAAAAUUUAGAAGCUGAAGUCAAGCUAUCGUCCCGGGUUGUUUACGGUCUAAUGAAGCGGGACUUAUGGACUUAAUAGCUGGCACGUUUAGUCCAAGCAUUGACCAACAUCGUGACGUGAUCAUUGAAGCCAUCUGUUCAGACCUCAAUGCCAGCAGAAACACGUAACCGCGACAACAUGCCAACGUCGUGGACGUCAUAUCGAGCGACACAGGGUUUGCCAAGACGGCCUCAUCUGAACAGAACAGACCGAAUGCGUUUUAAUGUUAUUUAUACCGAUGUUGUAAAAGCACCCGGUGCAUUUUUUAAAUAACCUACUUCGGGACCAUGUGCCAGUGUGAACUGCAACCGGCUUUUACCCCGUUAGUCCAACGGGUAGGUGCAUUUGGAAUUGGUAUUGGCACUGGGACGCUUGUUGGUCUGACUGCUUCAGCUAACCCACCUUAGUUGUCGCCGGCCACCAUGUGAUAGAUAGGUCGUCAUAGUCAAAACAACCACUGACCCGACACUUGAUUGGUUAAGAGAUGGGAAGAUUGUUAUGAAUGAUAAGUAGAUUCCGGUUAUGAAUGAGGCGGCUGUGGCGUAUUUGAAGGUGUCAUCGCGGAAUGCCCUCGGAGAAGCAGGAGAUUUACGAAAACCUUAAGGUAGCUGCUAAUAUGGUAUCUCCCAAAUAUAGGUCUAGACUAUUAUCCAUACAUAUGAUUACAAGAAAUAACCGUAAAACCACAGCUUCUGAAAUAGUUUACUCAUAAAGAGGCAAUAAAAUAAUUGCAUCAGAUUACGUUGAACUGCAUUCCUUUUUCUGUGUGAAUAAAAUCACUCUGGAUAGUCGGUCUCCUGGUAAGAUUCGAACCGAGAAUCUCCAAAAUAUGAAGGAGCAGCUGUAGUUAUUGUAGAAGCGAAUGCUGUUAGAUGGUCUCUUAAUUAUUUUAAUUCCGAGCAGUCUUUGUAUUCGGUCCUUUGAAUGUUAUUUUAAGUGUACGUACUUUCAAGUCGCCUUAUUUAUCGGCAACUUCUCCAACAUAUGUAUAUUGUGUGUAGUCUAUUGUGCACUCAAACUAUGUCUACAUGUAUCGAAGUUGUCCGCGUUAUCAUCUUGCGUGUGUAACCUUUUAAGAAUUUCUCGAGUUGGUUUCAGAAUUUGUAAUGCCAUUGUUACUUGCUCCGGAAAGGGCUCCAGUGCCGACUUGGAACCGGCACCACAAACGCGAAUCUUAGGUUCGAUAAGAGCAGGGAAUUUCUUGAUCGACUGAGUGGUUACCCUAUGCGACCGAAGAGAUCGGGAUUGCAUUUUAGAUCUUUCUUUAUGUUUCCUUCAUCCGUGUGUUUACCUUCUUCUGUCCGUCGUUGAAUUUUUCUUCACCUUCAUUUUGUUUGUUUGUUCCUUCCUUCAUGGAGGUAAGUGAUGGAAUAA